rnacentral:misc_RNA from 1 species
GAUGAAGAACGUAGCGAAAUGCGAUAAGUAAUGUGAAUUGCAUAAUUCAGUGAAUCAUCGAAUCUUUGAACGCACCUUGCACCCUUUGGCAUUCCGAAGGGUAUGCUCGUUUGAGUGUCAUUGUACUCUCACUCUCCCGAUACUUUUGGAUCGGGAGUGGUGGACUUGGGUGCUGCUGCUUAACUGUGGCUCGCCUUAAAUGAAGUAGUGCAACUCUCGGUUGGACAUAGUACGGCGUGAUAAGUGUCUUCGCCGGCGCCUCAUUCGAGGGUGGCCGAUCGGGAGCUCUGUGCUUCAAACUGUCUUCGGACAACAUCUGACAACUUGACCUCAAAUCGAGUAGGACUACCCGCUGAACUUAAGCAUAUCAAUAAGCGGAGGA